GUAUUCUGCACGGACUGCUGGGCAGCACUAGCACUCUGGAGAAGGUCUGCCGCUGUCUGCACUUUCCUGGUUCUAUGCAGGCAGAUGAGUGUCACAGCUGUAACUGAGGCACAGAGCAGUACACACAGUGGAGCCGAUUUCCGCGAUGGCGAGAGGGGGCACCGGAGGUGACAACAAUAACAAGACUGUCCUUCGGACAAGUUUUAGCGCUGAAUAUCUUCAGGAAAAUGGGUUCCAUGAGAAGUGACAUCCUCCUCGAAUCAAAAGACUUGAGGUUAACAUGGGCAUAAUGUUCUGGAUGAAGCUUUGGAAGUACUUGUGAAGGGAAGAAUGACUUGGGCAAUACCAAAUGUUGAGUUAUCAAGUAUUUCGAUACCCAUAUGCAUCAUCUGCUAUUCUCAGGAUGAUGGAGUGAGUGAUGGAAUAGGUUGCCAACUGUAGUUACUCCACUCAGCACAGAAUGGCUGCGGGGAAAUAUAAUCAGACAUGCCCAAAGAAGUCUGCUUAGGGUGAAACAAAUACCUUUGAGGUUUAAAUCAGGAAGGAGAGACUGUUUCUACAGGUGUCAUACAAAAAUCAAUACUGAGCCAAGGAUUAUUGGAUCCCAUAGAACCACGGAGACUUGGUAGUGAAAUUCUUCCAAAGCAUUCCAUCCGUGCAGGCAGAUGGUGUUCCUAGGUUUGGAAAUAUAAAUCCCAUGGGAAGUCAGCUGAAGACCAUUUUAUGCAUCACUCAUCCUGUUAGAGCCCUGUGCUGUUCUGUCUCUCUAUAAGACUGGCUGAAACCACCACGGUUGUUUACAAUUUAUGCUCUAACUUUGGAUCACCUAGUUAAUACUCUAACUCCGAUUAUUACCAAAGACAAUGUUCUAUAAAAGAUAUUGUCUAUUAGAAGGAUGCUUCUGCAUUAUUAAUAAAAUCACAGGGAAAAUGCAACAUUUUGGAUGUCACAUCUGAUAAGUUGGCAGUUAAAGAACAGAAACAGCAAUAAGACUGCGUGGCUACAUUUUCCCAGUGCCACCAACUGGGAUUUAAGCUGACUAACAUUUUGAAAGCCCAGCCCAUUUCAUUCACAGCAGGAUGGCAGUGGGUGACUGAUCGUACCCGCCAGCUGGCUAAUGUCAUAAUUAACAAAGUUGCUACUACAUCUGCAAAGUUUAAUCGAAAAAUUUGCCAGUGAUAUGAUGGCCUUGUCACAGAGAUCACAAGGGACACGGAGUUGACUUUUGCUCAAGGUGGAACGACAGAGCUGUGUAGGCAAGAUGAGAAAUUGCGAACUUGUUCGGCCAAAGGAACGACUAUGCUCUGGAGAGUCCUGUAAUUUGCAGAAAAUGGACCAAGAUAACAUUUGAGUUCCAUGCUACCAAAAUCCUCUUGAGAAGGACAGCUAGCUACCCAGAAUAUUUAACAUUGUGACAUUGAAAUGUUGGAUGAACGAUUAAAAUGAAGAAUCUAGUCAUAGGUUGUAAGAAAUCGCUAAAUUAUUAUGUUUAAUCCAAAGAAGAGAAAGGAAAAGCUGUUUUCAUUCCCCCCAGCCUCUGAGGAGGCUAAUAAUGAAGGGGCCGGGAAGGAGGCCAGUGCUACCAGGGUUAUCUCACAACCUCAGAUGCUGGAUAAGUCGACGGAGGCAGAAUCGCUUUGGGAUGACAUUCAGAAAGCCUGGAGUGAUUACUUGCAAGAGAAAAGCCUACCUAUUCUUUCCAAGGUGCAGGAAUAUUCCCCUGACCUGCUCAUCCAGUGGUCCAGUAAUGAAUUACUGGAGACCUGCCUUAGACAAAGAAUGCACUCGGAGCCCCAACACACCUAAAGCCAUGCUUUGAAGGAUCUGCCAAGCUCACUUUUAAUCAUGAGAAAGAAAUUACCCACACGGAGUCAGCAGAAAAUGAGAAAGUAGAGCUCGUGCUGUGAAUAAUUCCAGCAAGUGCCAAGGGGCUAGUUGAGGAAUGGCUUCAUGAGAACAUGCUCUAGGGGAACUAUUAAUAGCCCACCAGUCGGGUAGGCAGCAUUCAAUCCUUCUAUGCCUUCUUUCGCCACCUGUUGAGGUCUUUCUUCUGAAACAAAGAAGAAAUAGACAAAUCAGACUUGCCCUCUUGGAAAUGUGGUCCAGAUUUCUCUACUCCCAAGCUCCAAAAAAGAUGUUAGUCUAAAACAGCACCUUGGAUCUAAGCAGCACCUUUGAGAAAGAAAAGACUGCUUCAAGAAUGUCUAGUUGCACCUCCUUUCCGUAUGUGGCCUAAAUGCCUAGGUUGGAUCAAUAGUUUAAUUUUUUUAUUGAACUGUUUAAUAUUGACUAUGGACUUACAUUCACUUUUACUGUUUUCUGUAUAUUUACUUUUGCUUGAAGUGUUUUAAUAUUGACUAUUUACCUCUGCUCAUUUUUAUUGAUUUUCUGUAUUUUUUCAAUGAAAAUUAUAAUAAAAAUUAUUUUUGUUA
rnacentral:lncRNA from 1 species